rnacentral:lncRNA from 1 species
CUGGUGGAUCCCAUCCCAUUGUAGAGGCUCGAUUGAAGAUCGAUUGUCGUGGAAGCUCAGAGUAGCGACCUGGCCGGUGGGUCCCGUCCCAUUGUAGAAGCUCGAUCGAAGAUCGGUUGUCAUGGGAGCUCGGAGUAGCGACCUGGCCGGUGGGUCCCGUCCCAUUGUAGAAGCUCGAUCGUGUUAGGAUUUGAUGCUUCAAG